rnacentral:rRNA from 1 species
GUGGGGAAUAUUGGACAAUGGGCGAAAGCCUGAUCCAGCCAUGCCGCGUGAGUGAUGAAGGCCUUAGGGUUGUAAAGCUCUUUCAGUAGGGAAGAUAAUGACGGUACCUACAGAAGAAGCCCCGGCUAACUUCGUGCCAGCAGCCGCGGUAAUACGAAGGGGGCUAGCGUUGUUCGGAUUUACUGGGCGUAAAGCGCACGUAGGCGGAUUGGUCAGUUAGAGGUGAAAUCCUGGAGCUCAACUCCAGAACUGCCUUUAAUACUGCCAGUCUAGAGUCCAGAAGAGGUGAGUGGAACUCCUAGUGUAGAGGUGUAAUUCGUAGAUAUUAGGAAGAACACCAGUGGCGAAGGCGGCUCACUGGUCUGGUACUGACGCUGAGGUGCGAAAGCGUGGGGAGCAAACAGGAUUAGAAACCCUUGUAGUCC